CGGCCCCGCCUCCUCCGGCGACUGGGCCUGACGUCACUUCCGCCAGCUGCGGGGUCAGCCCCGGUCCCUGCAGCGGGCUGCUUCCCGGGUGUGGGCGUGUGUUUUGUUGGACCUUGACCCGGCUGGGAAAUCUCCUUUUCUCCUUGCAGUUCGCGCCGCUGUGUCCCGAGCGUCACUGGUGUCGCACCGUCAGGGCUCAGCCUUCGAGCCCGUACCGGAGGCUUGUGAGAGGCUCACCUGGAGCCCCGGGCCGGGAGUCAUUGGGUGUGAAGGGCGCUUUCUGGGCGGCGUGCGCUUGGAUUUCGUUAAUACGGCACCUAAGUGGCAGAUAGAGUCAGGGACCGAUGGAAGUUGUUUUGAACGCACCGAGAAUUUGUUCUCCUCCGGCUUCUAGUUUGCGUUUCAAUCCCCAAACUGUCAGUGUUGUAGGGAGACUUAUUAAUGGUGCCGUACUGGCCUCAUUUUGUUUUGCUUAAAGUCGUAUCUUCAGAUAAUUUAGGAUGGGGGGUUGAGGUCCAGAAGAAAUGAGACAGCUAGGGUUUUUCAGGGACACCAGCAUUACCAGUCCAAGCGCGCUGCCCAGAACCGUGGCAGAUGGAGGAGAGAGCUACUCUGACGCGUCUUGGUCUUCGGCGCCCUCCUCAAGCGCUCCUGUAAAUCUCGGUUUUUGUGUGUAGCUGGCCUUAAAAUCAGGUAUAAGGCGUGGAUUAGUAAACGCCUAGUCCAACCGACCUGGGUUUCAAUCUUAGCACUGCUACUUAGGUGAAAAAGAAGACUCCUAGAAGAAUUGCAUGAUUUGCCCAAGGUCAUACAAUGAAUUAAAGGCGUAAAAUGAAGAAAACUCUGGUCUCCUGAGAGCAAGGCAUGUGCUCCUGCUGUGUUAGCAAGAAGGGAUGAAGAAAAGAAAGCCUGGAUGAACUGAUUUUUAGAGAGAAAUGAGGCAUUCAUGAAUGAACAGAAAGACUCAGCAGUUUUCUACUGGGGUAGGCACCUGGACUAAAUAUGGGCAGCUGGAGAAUUAGCCUGCCAAAGAUGGAGAUGAGGAGAAACCAACCAAGAUGUAGACAGCCUGUGGGCUUGUGGGAUGCACUGGAAUCUGGAAGAAGACUGCAGUAGAUUGAGUUUUCCAAAAAUGGCCUUAAUAGUAUCUCCCAUCCUACAUUCUUUUUCCAAAAAUGUGACAUUUGCCUCCCUCCCAUCGAAUGGUAUUGUCCAUGAUCCUUGCUUUGAAUCUGGUCAAGUUUGUGACAAUGGCGGAAAUAAUGAUAUGUGAAUUCUGAGGCCAAGUCAUAAAAGGUGAUACAGCUUCUGCCUGGCCCUCUUGGGAGACAUGACUUUGCAACCCUGACUGCAAUGUAAGGAAUCCACUGCUGCUGUGCUGUGAGGAAGGGUCAUGUGGAGGUGUUCUGGAUCAUCCCAAGCUGAGUUCCCAGCCAGCAGUCAGGAUCAACCAGCAGGCGUGUCAUUGGAGCCACCUCUAGAGGAUUCCUGCUCCCUGCCAUUGUGUCACCUUCAGUCUGAUCCACAUAAUCCCUGAAUGUACUAAAAUAUUUUUGUUUCAAAUAGUAUUGUUUUAUUUCAAUUUAAAUGUCUUCAUUUCAAAUGUUUAAACUGCUAAAUUUGGGGUAACAUGAUGGAACAAUAAAUAACCAGAAUAAGCUCCAGAUUUGAAAAUAAAUUACUCACCUUGACAAUUC
ensembl:lncRNA